ACUGACUCAACAGAGGCCCUAUCCAGCUUUGUCCUGAGGGGAUCAAGUUCCUUUGGGAAUGGGGAAUAGGCAAGGAGGAGAAAAUGUGAGGGCUUUGAGAGGAAAGAAUAAGAAAAUCCCAGACUGUAACUUGUGAGCAGGGGACCUUGAAGAAGCUAAGAUAAGCAGCAUCCCACCAUCUUAGUCAAGGCAGCACACCCACUGAUCUCAGGACUUUGAAGAAACUAAGACAAGUAGCAUCCCACCCUAAGUCUUACUCAAGGAAGUCAACUCUAUCAUCCACACACAUGACCAGAAGAAUGAUGAUCUUUACCCUAUAGAGUUG
rnacentral:lncRNA from 10 species